rnacentral:rRNA from 1 species
UACGUAGGGUGCGAGCGUUAAUCGGAAUUACUGGGCGUAAAGCGUGCGCAGGCGGUUCGUUGUGUCGGCGGUGAAAGCCCGGGGCUCAACUCCGGGUCGGCCGUGCGAACUGGGGGACUGGAGCUUGUCAGAGGCAGGCGGAAUUCCGGGUGUAGCGGUGGGAUGCGUAGAGAUCCGGAAGAACACCGGUGGCGAAGGCGGCCUGCUGGGACAGUGCUGACGCUGAGGCGCGACAGCGUGGGGAGCAAACAGG